GUACUUGCUUCGGCAGCACACAUACUAAAAUUGGAAUGAUACAGAGAAGAUUAGCAUCCUGAGUAAGGAUGACAUGUAAAUUCAUGAAGCAUUCCACUAAAAA
rnacentral:snRNA from 1 species